rnacentral:rRNA from 1 species
UACGUAGGGUGCGAGCGUUAAUCGGAAUUACUGGGCGUAAAGCGUGCGCAGGCGGUUCGUUAAGUCAGCUGUGAAAGCCCCGAGCUCAACUUGGGAAUUGCGGUUGAAACUGGCGAACUAGAAUCUGGCAGAGGGGGGUGGAAUUCCACGUGUAGCAGUGAAAUGCGUAGAGAUGUGGAGGAACACCGAUGGCGAAGGCAGCCCCCUGGGCUAAGAUUGACGCUCAGGCACGAAAGCGUGGGGAGCAAACAGG